AGUACAGCCUGCCCAGGGAGGUGACAGGAGGAAGCUGGGCACGGCCUGAGCAAUGACAGUCACCACUGGAAUGAUGCAGCCAAAGUGCUCUGAGCUCCUCCUGCCAGGAAAGACAUCCCUGUGGCGCACCCUCAUGAGGCAGUAAUGGGAUUUCAUUAGAUUAAAUAACUCCAAUGAA